GAUGAACGCUGGCGGCGUGCCUAACACAUGCAAGUCGAGCGAACAGACGAGGCUCUUGCUUCUCUGACGCUAGCGGCGGACGGGUGAGUAACACGUGGAUAACCUGUCUAUAAGACUGGGAUAAGUUCGGGAAACCGGAGCUAAUACCGGACAAUAUAUUGAACCGCAUGGUUCAUUAGUGAAAGACGGUUUUGCUGACACUAAUACAUGGUACCACGCCGGAUUAGCUAGUUGGUACGGUAACGGCUUACCAAGGCAACGAUGCGUAGCUGACCUGAGAGGGUGAUCAGCCACACUGGAACUGAGACACGGUCCAGACUCCUACGGGAGGCAGCAGUGGGGAAUCUUCGGCAAUGGGCGAAAGCCUGACGGAGCAACGCCGCGUGAGUGAAGAAGGUCUUCGGAUCGUAAAACACUGUUAGUAGGGAAGAACAGAAGUGAGAGUAACUAUGGCCGUCUUGACGGUACCUAAACAGAAAGCCACGGCUAACUUCGUG
rnacentral:rRNA from 1 species